rnacentral:rRNA from 1 species
ACCAGCAACUUGGAGGAUGUAUAGCGAUAGCUAAUUGCAUCGAAAAUAUGAUGCAAGAUCGAUUUAUUGAAUAAAAUUCUGGGUAGAAUUAUGAUUAUGACAUUGUCUACCCAUGUGUCUUGACCAAAUUACGUGCCAGCAGUCGCGGUAAUACGUAGAAGACUAGUGUUAUUCAUCUUUAAUAGGUUUAAAGGGUACCUAGACGGUAAAUCAAGCCCUAGACGGGACUAAUUUGCUAGAGUUACUUGUGAGGGGGUUUUAAAGUACUAAUGGUGUAGAGAUGAAAUUUUGUAAUACCAUUUUUCGAAAGGAAAGUAAUGGCACAGGUAUAGGCGAAAGCAUCCCCUUAUGUGAUAACUGACGUUGAAGGACGAAGGCUUUGAGUCGCGAACAGGAUUAGAUACCCUGGUAGUCAAAGCAGAAAAUAAUGAGUGUCAUAGAUUAGAUAUUAAAGUUUAUUCUAUAAAUGAAAGUGUAAGCACUCCACCUCAAGAGUAAUUUGGCAACAUUGGAACUGAAAUCAUUAGACCGUUUCUGAAACCAGUAGUGAAGUAUGUUGUUUAAUUUGAUAAUCCGCAAAAAACCUUACCACAAUUUGAAUAUUUAUAUCGUUGAUAUAAUUACAAGCGUUGCACGGCUGUCUUCAGUUAAUGUCGUGAGAUUUUGGUUAGAUCCAUUAAAUUAACGCAAGCCCUUACUUUAUUUUAAAAUAAAGUCGUUCCCCACUAGAUUGGAUAAGAUAACAGGGAUUAAGACAAGUCAUCAUGGCCUGAAUAUUGUGGGC